GUCCCUCGUAAGUCAGAUUUAUCAUAUUGACAAAAGACCUAAGAUAUUUCUUCUUCUGUCAAUUUGUUAUAAGAUCCAUCUGCCUCUUCACAGGCCAAACAGGACACCAACAUGUCCAAGUUUCAGUCAAACAAUCAAUUCAACUCUUAAGAGCCA